rnacentral:tRNA from 1 species
GCUGUCAUGGUGUAGUGGUUUGGAUAUUGGACUAUGACUCUGGAGAUCAAGGUUUGAAUCCCUUCUCAGCC